AACGAACGCUGGCGGCAUGCCUAACACAUGCAAGUCGAACGAGACCUUCGGGUCUAGUGGCGCACGGGUGCGUAACGCGUGGGAACCUGCCCUUAGGCUCGGAAUAACUCCCCGAAAGGGGUGCUAAUACCGGAUAAUGUCUUCGGACCAAAGAUUUAUCGCCUUUGGAUGGGCCCGCGUUGGAUUAGCUAGUUGGUAGGGUAAAAGCCUACCAAGGCGACGAUCCAUAGCUGGUCUGAGAGGAUGAUCAGCCACACUGGGACUGGGACACGGCCCAGACUCCUGCGGGAGGCAGCAGUGGGGAAUAUUGGACAAUGGGCGAAAGCCUGAUCCAGCAAUGCCGCGUGAGUGAUGAAGGCCUUAGGGUUGUAAAGCUCUUUUACCCGGGAUGAUAAUGACAGUACCGGGAGAAUAAGCUCCGGCUAACUCCGUG
rnacentral:rRNA from 1 species